GCGGGGAUAGCUCAGUUGGGAGAGCGUCAGACUGAAGUGAAGACUUUAGUUUCAUUCAAGAACAUCUGAAGAACAUCUGAAGGUCGUGCGUUCGAUCCGCACUCACCGCA